rnacentral:lncRNA from 1 species
ACGUUUCAUCCGCAAUUGGCUCAAUCCUUCGAUCUCCGACCCGCUGCAAACGAACGAAAGUCUGUGGCCUGGAUCGGCCCACCACUGCUCCCGAGGGAGGGGGGAGGAAAGAGAAGUCACCUCUUGUUUUAGGGGGUCUGUGUCUACGGUCCCUGAUGCGGAGCUCGGGAGAACAACUUUGAGUUAGUGUUUACGGAACUCCUCACAGCCUAGACUCUUUUUUUUGAAGGGAGAGAUUCAAAAUCUAUAGGCUGUUCCCUACUCGCCUCCCCCAUCGGGCACAUGGACGGGUCCCACCUGCAGGUGCGCAUGCGCUGAGGCGUAUUCUCGCGCUGGGUUACGGAGACGACAGGCCGCCUCCUGGCCCCUCCUCCCCUCGGUUCUGUCUGCUGAACCAGUAAGAAAAAAAAAAAAGAAGAAGAAGGAAAACACAUUUUUGUCCACGGUGACUUUGAGAUGGAAGGUGUUCCUUUCAACUGUAUCAAAACCAGCACAAUCCCUGUUUGAAGAUGCUAAGACUAAAAGGGCCCAGAAAGUUGAGUCCAGAGGUCACAUUCACUGAAGGGACGAUUUCAUACUUUGGAUAGUCUCCUAUUAAGUCUUUGACUUAAAACUGGCUGAAAUUUGGUUUUAUCUGGUGAUCUAAGGGAUCGCAAAGAGGACAGGUGAGGCUUUUCAGUUCUUGUUCAGAUUAGACAAAUUGCAAAAAAAAAAAAAAAUUCAC